GACGAACGCUGGCGGCGUGCUUAACACAUGCAAGUCGAACGCUGAAGCUCAGCUUUUGUUGGGUGGAUGAGUGGCGAACGGGUGAGUAACACGUGAGUAACCUGCCCCCUUCUUUGGGAUAACGCCCGGAAACGGGUGCUAAUACUGGAUAUUCACUGGUCUUCGCAUGGGGGUUGGUGGAAAGGGUUUUUCUGGUGGGGGAUGGGCUCGCGGCCUAUCAGCUUGUUGGUGGGGUGAUGGCCUACCAAGGCUUUGACGGGUAGCCGGCCUGAGAGGGUGACCGGUCACAUUGGGACUGAGAUACGGCCCAGACUACUACGGGAGGCAGCAGUGGGGAAUAUUGCACAAUGGGCGCAAGCCUGAUGCAGCGACGCCGCGGGAGGGGUGGAGGCCUUCGGGUUGUGAACCUCUUUCGCUCAUGGUCAAGCCGCAACAAUGGUUGUGGUGAGGGUAGUGGGUAAAGAAGCGCCGGCUAACUACGUG
rnacentral:rRNA from 1 species